UUCCCAAAACGAAAAAAAAAAAAAGACGAAAAAGAAAAAAACAGCAAGAAAACUUUUUGUUUCUUGAGCCUCUUG
rnacentral:ribozyme from 1 species